CAGACCUAAGAAAUGUUCUUUUUGGAACCGGCGUCCCACAUACAGCGGGUAAUUUAAGAGAGUGGGGCAAUAGAUAACAGAAUGACAGCGCAGUCCCCGGGGACCCUGCCAUGCCUGCGUUUCCCUCUGCCGUUUUGGAACGGCGCCUCCUGGUGGCUUGUUAAUAAAGCCGGCGCAGCUUUUGGGACCAUUUCUACAGCACGGGCUCUCGGCUCCCUAAUAGGGUCCUGGGAGGUCAAGUGACAC